rnacentral:rRNA from 1 species
AGUGAACGCUGGCGGUAGGCCUAACACAUGCAAGUCGAACGGCAGCACAGUAAGAGCUUGCUCUUACGGGUGGCGAGUGGCGGACGGGUGAGGAAUACAUCGGAAUCUACUUUUUCGUGGGGGAUAACGUAGGGAAACUUACGCUAAUACCGCAUACGACCUACGGGUGAAAGCAGGGGAUCUUCGGACCUUGCGCGAUUGAAUGAGCCGAUGUCGGAUUAGCUAGUUGGCGGGGUAAAGGCCCACCAAGGCGACGAUCCGUAGCUGGUCUGAGAGGAUGGUCGGCCACACUGGAAGUGAGCCACCGUCCAGACUCCUACGGGAGGCAGCAGUGGGGAAUAUUGGACAAUGGGCGCAAGCCUGAUCCAGCCAUCCCGCGUGGGUGAAGAAGGCCUUCGGGUUGUAAAGCCCUUUUGUUGGGAAAGAAAAGCAGCAGGUUGAUACGCCGCUGUUCUGACGGUACCCAAAGAAUAAGCACCGGCUAACUUCGUG